rnacentral:rRNA from 1 species
UAAGUUGCAGGGUAUAGACCCGAAACCCGGUGAUCUAGCCAUGGGCAGGUUGAAGGUUGGGUAACACUAACUGGAGGACCGAACCGACUAAUGUUGAAAAAUUAGCGGAUGACCUGUGGCUGGGGGUGAAAGGCCAAUCAAACCGGGAGAUAGCUGGUUCUCCCCGAAAGCUAUUUAGGUAGCGCCUCGUGAAUUCAUCUCCGGGGGUAGAGCACUGUUUCGGCUAGGGGGCCAUCCCGGCUUACCAACCCGAUGCAAACUGCGAAUACCGGAGAAUGUUAUCACGGGAGACACACGGCGGGUGCUAACGUCCGUCGUGAAGAGGGAAACAACCCAGACCGCCAGCUAAGGUCCCAAAGUCAUGGUUAAGUGGGAAACGAUGUGGGAAGGCCCAGACAGCCAGGAUGUUGGCUUAGAAGCAGCCAUCAUUUAAAGAAAGCGUAAUAGCUCACUGGUCGAGUCGGCCUGCGCGGAAGAUGUAACGGGGCUAAACCAUGCACCGAAGCUGCGGCAGCGACGCUUAUGCGUUGUUGGGUAGGGGAGCGUUCUGUAAGCCUGUGAAGGUGGCCUGUGAGGGUUGCUGGAGGUAUCAGAAGUGCGAAUGCUGACAUAAGUAACGAUAAAGCGGGUGAAAAGCCCGCUCGCCGGAAGACCAAGGGUUCCUGUCCAACGUUAAUCGGGGCAGGGUGAGUCGACCCCUAAGGCGAGGCCGAAAGGCGUAGUCGAUGGGAAACGGGUUAAUAUUCCCGUACUUGGUGUUACUGCGAAGGGGGGACGGAGAAGGCUAUGUUGGCCGGGCGACGGUUGUCCCGGUUUAAGCGUGUAGGCUGGUUUUCCAGGCAAAUCCGGAAAAUCAAGGCUGAGGCGUGACGACGAGGCACUACGGUGCUGAAGCAACAAAUGCCCUGCUUCCAGGAAAAGCCUCUAAGCAUCAGGUAACAUCAAAUCGUACCCCAAACCGACACAGGUGGUCAGGUAGAGAAUACCAAGGCGCUUGAGAGAACUCGGGUGAAGGAACUAGGCAAAAUGGUGCCGUAACUUCGGGAGAAGGCACGCUGACACGUAGGUGAAGUGAUUUACUCAUGGAGCUGAAGUCAGUCGAAGAUACCAGCUGGCUGCAACUGUUUAUUAAAAACACAGCACUGUGCAAACACGAAAGUGGACGUAUACGGUGUGACGCCUGCCCGGUGCCGGAAGGUUAAUUGAUGGGGUCAGCGCAAGCGAAGCUCCUGAUCGAAGCCCCGGUAAACGGCGGCCGUAACUAUAACGGUCCUAAGGUAGCGAAAUUCCUUGUCGGGUAAGUUCCGACCUGCACGAAUGGCGUAAUGAUGGCCAGGCUGUCUCCACCCGAGACUCAGUGAAAUUGAACUCGCUGUGAAGAUGCAGUGUACCCGCGGCAAGACGGAAAGACCCCGUGAACCUUUACUAUAGCUUGACACUGAACAUUGAGCCUUGAUGUGUAGGAUAGGUGGGAGGCUUUGAAGUGUGGACGCCAGUCUGCAUGGAGCCGACCUUGAAAUACCACCCUUUAAUGUUUGAUGUUCUAACGUGGACCCGUUACCCGGGUUGCGGACAGUGUCUGGUGGGUAGUUUGACUGGGGCGGUCUCCUCCUAAAGAGUAACGGAGGAGCACGAAGGUUGGCUAAUCCUGGUCGGACAUCAGGAGGUUAGUGCAAUGGCAUAAGCCAGCUUGACUGCGAGCGUGACGGCGCGAGCAGGUGCGAAAGCAGGUCAUAGUGAUCCGGUGGUUCUGAAUGGAAGGGCCAUCGCUCAACGGAUAAAAGGUACUCCGGGGAUAACAGGCUGAUACCGCCCAAGAGUUCAUAUCGACGGCGGUGUUUGGCACCUCGAUGUCGGCUCAUCACAUCCUGGGGCUGAAGUAGGUCCCAAGGGUAUGGCUGUUCGCCAUUUAAAGUGGUACGCGAGCUGGGUUUAGAACGUCGUGAGACAGUUCGGUCCCUAUCUGCCGUGGGCGCUGGAGAACUGAGGGGGGCUGCUCCUAGUACGAGAGGACCGGAGUGGACGCAUCACUGGUGUUCGGGUUGUCAUGCCAAUGGCACUGCCCGGUAGCUAAAUGCGGAAGAGAUAAGUGCUGAAAGCAUCUAAGCACGAAACUUGCCCCGAGAUGAGUUCUCCCUGAGACUUAGAGUCUCCUGAAGGAACGUUGAAGACGACGACGUUGAUAGGCCGGGUGUGUAAGCGCAGCGAUGCGUUGAGCUAACCGGUACUAAUGAACCGUGAGGCUUAACCUUACAACGCCGAA